AGUGAACGCUGGCGGUAGGCCUAACACAUGCAAGUCGAACGACAGCACAGUAAGAGCUUGCUCUUACGGGUGGCGAGUGGCGGACGGGUGAGGAAUACAUCGGAAUCUACUUUUUCGUGGGGGAUAACGUAGGGAAACUUACGCUAAUACCGCAUACGACCUACGGGUGAAAGCAGGGGAUCUUCGGACCUUGCGCGAUUGAAUGAGCCGACGUCGGAUUAGCUAGUUGGCGGGGUAAAGGCCCACCAAGGCGACGAUCCGUAGCUGGUCUGAGAGGAUGAUCAGCCACACUGGAACUGAGACACGGUCCAGACUCCUACGGGAGGCAGCAGUAGGGAAUCUUGGACAAUGGGCGAAAGCCUGAUCCAGCAAUACCGCGUGGGUGAAGAAGGCCUUCGGGUUGUAAAGCCCUGUUGUUGGGAAAGAAAAGCAGCAGGUUAAUCCCCCGCUGUUCUGACGGUACCCAAAGAAUAAGCCCCGGCUAACUUCGUG
rnacentral:rRNA from 1 species